rnacentral:rRNA from 1 species
UACGUAGGGGGCAAGCGUUGUCCGGAAUCAUUGGGCGUAAAGCGCGUGUAGGCGGCUCGGUAAGUCCGCUCUGAAAGUCCAGGGCUCAACCCUGGGAUGCGGGUGGAUACUGCCGGGCUCGAGUCCGGAAGAGGCGAGUGGAAUUCCCGGUGUAGCGGUGAAAUUCGUAGAUAUGGGGAGGAACACCGGUGGCGAAGGCGGGACUCUGGGCCGAUACUGACGCUGAGGAGCGAAAGCGUGGGGAGCGAACAGG